rnacentral:pre_miRNA from 1 species
UUACUACUCCCUCCUACUUGUCGGUGAAAUGGAUGUAUCUAAACGUAUUUUAGUUCUAGAUACAUCCAUCCUUAUCCAUUUCUCCGACAAGUAUUUCCUGACGGAGGGAGUAGGAU